GUAACCUGUAUUAAUAAAGGGAGAGGGAGAGUAACCUGUAUUAAUAAAGGUAGAGGGAGAGUAACCUGUAUUAAUAAAGGGAGAGGGAGAGUAACCUGUAUUAAUAAAGGUAGAGGGAGAGUAACCUGUA